rnacentral:rRNA from 1 species
CUACGGGAGGCACCAGUCGAGAAUAUUCGGCAAUGGGCGAAAGCCUGACCGAGCGACGCCGCGUGCAGGAUGACAGCCUUCGGGUUGUAAACUGCUUUUCUAAGGGAAGAAUUUGUGACGGUACCUUAGGAAUAAGAGGUUGCUAACUCUGUGCCAGCAGCAGCGGUAAUACAGAGACCUCAAGCGUUAUCCGGAUUUAUUGGGCGUAAAGGGUGUGUAGGCGGUUUAGAUAGUCAGAUGUUAAAUCACCGAGCUCAACUCGGUGGCCGCAUUUGAAACGUCUAAACUAGAGACAGGCAGAGGCUAGUGGAACUCAUGGUGUAGCAGUGAAAUGCGUUGAUAUCAUGGGGAACACCAAAGGCGAAGGCAUCUAGCUGGGCCUGUUCUGACGCUGAGACACGAAAGCGUGGGUAGCGAAUGGGAUUAGAUACCCUCGUAGUC